CUGUUAAAUUUAAUGGUACAGUAAUUUGUCUGAAAAACAUUUGGUCAGGUUAGUCACAGUAUGUAACUAAUCAUAAAGUAACCUCCUUAAACUAUAUUUAAACUACAUUUAAUAAAAAUAUCCUUCUCAGGAUGCAUAAUCACGAUUUUAAAAUACAGAUUAUUUAAUUUACCAGUUGUAUAAACUCAAUAACCACAUUAUUAACUACAGGAAUGGAUAUUAACAAAAAAACAAAAGAUCAGAGAAAGAGCUGGAGCUGAAUCAAUGCAUAUUUAUCCAUGUAUUUAUAAUUAAUACCCCAGGGGUGCCCAGGUGACUCGGUUAAGCAUCCAACUCUUGGUUUUGGCUCAGUCAUGAUCUCAGGGUUAUGGGAUCGAGCCCCAUGUUAGGCUCCAAUCUGGGCAUGGAGCCUGCCAUGCCCUUUGCCCCUUUCCCUGCUCAUGUGCUCUCCCCUUCUCUCUCUCUCUUAAAAAAAAAAUUAUAUGUUUAUAUCCCACAAACUUCUAGAUAGAAAUUGAGGCAACCUUAAAUAUUAAAACACUCUCACACCAUAGCUACUCAUCAAUAUGUCUUUUGUAAAUGACACAUCAAGCCAAUAUUGUUGGUUUCCCCUGCCUUUCAAUCAUUGGCAAAAAUAGAAAAACAAAAACAAAAGACAGAAACAAAGCAAAGCUUCAAAAAAUGGAAAGUUUAUUUGCAGCCAAUUUUCCAGAUCAUGAAUAAUGUAGACAUCUUCAGUAGGGAUUCUGCACUUGGAAAAUGCCACUUCCUCCAGCUCUUACGCAUGGUAUGGUGGAUUCCAGAUCUCACACUGUAGCAACUAUUUUGCUCCCUGAUUGUCUCUCCCAGGAGGAGCAUCACUAAUACUCACACCCACUCUGGGAUAUGGUCCUGGCUUCUCCUUGGAAGAGAGGGUCCCACACUUUCUAGUAGUCCAUGGUGCUUCAUAGCCCAAUGAACACAAGGGGUCUCUUGAGCCCCACAAAGGUUUGAGUUCCCAAGGGGAGCCUGCUCCCUUUGUGAAAGUGUAAGGUAGGGAAGUGAUAUGGUGUUAAUCAAUACACCCAGUGAUAAAUGUUUAUCUUGAGCAGAAAGCAAAUAAAGGCAGGCUAGCCAGCCCUUUAUUGCCUGCACAGUGGUUAGAUUCACCGUCAGUGGCUGGAGCCUUUUCCAGCUCAUGUGGCUUAAAAGUUUAUCAACAUUUUUCUUUUUUUCUGGAGGACAGGUUGGGAAAGAUUUGCCAAGUCUAGUAUUUAUUUACUGUAAAAUUUUCACAAAUGUAUGGUUGCUUUUAUUUUUUUCCCAAAGGCACAGGACCAACUUUGGAAAACCUGCUUGUGUUAAGGAAGGUGUUUGUGGGGACCCAAAAUAAUCACAAGAGUCCUUGAAAGUGGAAGAGGAAGGCACAAAUGGGGAGUUCAGAGGAAGAUGUGACUAUAAAAGACAGACACAGAGGAAGGACUCAAAACUCCACCCCUGCCAUGUUGGCUUUGAAGAUGGGCAAAGAGGCUGCCUCUGGAAGCUGGAAUGGGCAAAGAAACAGAUUCUCCUCAGGCAAUGAAUGGCCCCCUAGAACCUCCAGAGGCACAACAACCCUGCCCAUAUCUUGAUGUUAGCCCCAUGAGGCCAAUGUUGGACCUCUAACUUAACAGAAAUGUCAGAAAAGAAAUCUGUGUUUUAAGCCACUGUGUGGUCACUGGUUGCAGUAGCCAUAGAAAAUGAACACAGACCCCUUUCAGAAUCUACGGAAAGUGACAUGUACGGGAUGCCUGGGUGGCUCAGUCAGUUAAGCAUCCUACUUCCGCUCAAGUCAUGAUCUCCAGGUUCCUGGGUUCGAGGCCGGCAUUAGGCUCUGUGCUGACAGCUCAGACCCUGGAUCCUGCCUGGGAUUCUGUGUCUCUCUCUUUCUCUGCCCCUUCCCCGCUCAUGCACGUGCACGCCUGCUCUCUCUCUCUCUCUC